UUUGGUCUGGAGUUGAAAGCUGUAUUGAGGAACAAAGGUGUCGAGAAGCUCCUGAGAUUCCUAAUGGGGAAGGAAUACUAGGGAGUACUGAACGACACGGACAGACCCAAGAAAUGAUGCUCAUUGAUUGCAAUGAAGGAUACUCUGCUAAGAUUGAGGAAUUAACCUGUCGUGACGGACGAUGGGAUUUAAAUGGAUCACUUGAUGAUAUCUGUAAAUCUAAUCAUGAUAACUGCAGCCCUCCACCCAAAGUUGAAAAUGCUGUUAUUACAACUUGUUAUCGGAAGCAAUACCCAUCUGGCUCUGAAGUAACCUAUCAGUGCUUUGACAAUUACAUUAUGGAAGGAAAAGCUACGAUUAACUGCAUAGCUGGGGAAUGGAAGGAGCUCGCCAUUAAGUGUUUACAAAUUCCACCCUGUGGGAUACCUCCAACUCUUGAGGAUGGAGACACCAAGACCGCCAUAAAAGAGCAUUACAGCCAUAAUGAAAUUAUUGAAUACAUGUGUCAGAGUCACUACAUUAUGGAGGGAGAGCCUUACAAAACCUGCCUCUAUGGUGAAUGGACUGGACACAUGAGAUGCCUCAGUAAGUUACAGUUCUCCCCAAUAUUAAGAAUAAUUUUAUCAUAA